AGUGUAGUAUGUAGUGUAGUGUUGUGUAGUGUUGUGUAGUGUAUAAUGUAGUGUAGUGUAUAAUGUAGUGUAGUGUAGUGUAUAAUGUAGUGUAGUGUUAUGUAGUGUAGUGUAGUGUUAUGUAGUGUAGUGUAUAAUGUAGUGUAUAAUGUAGUGUAGUGUUAUGUAGUGUAGUGUUAUGUAGUGUAGUGUAUAAUGUAGUGUAGUGUUAUGUAGUGUAGUGUUAUGUAGUGUAGUGUAUAAUGUAGUGUACAAUGUAGUGUAGUGUUAUGUAGUGUAGUGUAUAAUGUAGUGUAGUGUAUUGUGUAGUGUUGUGUAUAAUGUAGUGUAGUGUAGUGUAUAAUGUAGUGUAGUGUUGUGUAGUGUUGUGUAGUGUAUAAUGUAGUGUAGUGUUAUGUAGUGUAGUGUUAUGUAGUGUAGUGUUAUGUAGUGUAGUGUUAUGUUGUGUAGUGUAUAAUGUAGUGUAGUGUAGUGUAUAAUGUAGUGUAGUGUAUAAUGUAGUGUAGUGUAGUGUAUAAUGUAGUGUAGUGUUAUGUAGUGUAGUGUUAUGUAGUGUAGUGUUAUGUAGUGUAGUGUUAUGUUGUGUAGUGUAUAAUUGUGUAGUGUAGUGUUAUGUAGUGUAUAAUGUAGUGUAGUGUGUAGUGUUAUGUAGUGUGUAUAAUGUAGUGUAGUGUGUAGUGUAUAAUGUAGUGUAGUGUUAUGUAGUGUAUAAUGUAGUGUUAUGUAGUGUGUAGUGUAUAAUGUAGUGUAGUGUGUAGUGUAGUGUUAUGUAGUGUAGUGUGUAGUGUAGUGUAGUGUUAUGUAGCAGUAUGUUAUGUAGUGUAUAAUGUAGUGUAGUGUAGUGUAUAAUGUAGUGUAUAAUGUAGUGUAGUGU
ensembl:lncRNA